AGCCGCGGGCUUAAGUUGUCUGUUAGUGUCUGUGUAAGUGUGUGUGUUUGGGGAGUUUCAGGAUCAAACCCUCAUGUCGACAGGGGGCUGCGCCGGGGAGACGACCGCCGACAGGUGUUUCCUGCCGCAACACAGCAGGCCUCACGCUCCACCAAUCGCAGACACGGCCGCUUCCAAAACAAUGUGGCUGCUCAACAAAUCGGAGCUCCCCCAUCUGUCUCAUUACACCCCGACACCACAGCCACCGUCUCCCCGUGGGCCUCUGACGCCAUAUCUCCCAAAUGGCAACAGAAGCCAACGACGACAGGUCAGGCCGAUGCUUUUUAGAUCCAUAUCGAGGCUUGUGACUCUCAGAGGAUUCCUGCACGGUUAGAAAAUACGUCUGAGGUUAGUUUGGUCUCCACCUCAGCUGUCCAGCGAGGGAGCAGAUUGCAGAUAAGUGUCCAUUUCCCAAAAUAUUGUACAGAAUGCAAGGUGUGUGUGUGUGUGUGUGUGUGUGUGUGUGUGUGUGUGUGUGUGUGUGUGUGAGAGAGACCUGGGGCUCGCAUUACUUUUAUCAUAACUGCUACCACAUGAAAAAUGGAACAUUUCUAUUGGAAGUAAUUUGAAAAGGACCAUCACAAGCAAACGUGUCCCAAAUAAAUCUAGCGUUAAAUAUGAGUUCACAAAUUAUUAGUGCAGUAUUCAGAGUGUUUCCUAUCUAACUAACGGUAACUGUGAUGUGAGUACACUAUUCUCUGUGUUAAAGCUAUUUUUAUUCGGUGAAUUUACAAUAUAUUAGUGUUAUUUUCCAAAUAAAAUUGGAACAAUCAAAAAACUAAGUCAAAGAUAUUGUAUUGGCUCAAUUUCUAUUAAAAUCUUCAUGUGAUGAGACUAUUUCUUUUUUUUAUUAAAUAAGAGAAAAAAAAUGUGUUUAUGUGAGGAAGCAUGUUUACCCUUAAGUUAUAUAUUUUGUUCACCUUUUUCCUCGUGGGUGUACGUUACAUGAAGAAAUCCAACAACAAUGGCUGUAAGACAAAAAUACCGCGUGGCCGCUCAGUCAGAGUUUAAUUUUUUCAAGUAAAACUUUUCGUAGAAAAUAUUCGAAUCCUUACGAUUAAUAUUUCACAUGGCACCGAUUGUUUUGGGCGGGCAUUCUAGAUAUUUCACUAUUCACCACUUUGUGCCGCACCGUCACGACGAUAUUGACCUUUGCCCUCCAAGUGCACACAAACGCCGACAGAUGCACGAGGAAAAAACACGGAGAAGCACGUUCUUCUCCUUUAUAGUAAAUCUUUUUCUGUCCUGAAAGGCGGAGGGUUGAGGUCAAAAACCUCAGUGAUCCUUUGUUCGUUUUUUUUUCUCCUAGAAUUUGUCCUUAUCCAGGACCUUGGGUGGAGCAGACCGGAGCAGGAGUAGUGGGGGAGGGCGUCUCCGCUGCGGAUUCGACCUGCGCGUGAGGGUGUGUGCGCGGCUCCGCUGCGGUCUGAGUCACGUCCACUUUCACAGGGUGUGUGUUCACGCCGCCAGUGUCCUUCUCUGUCAGCAGGUGAGGUGGGAUGUAGCCGGACUGUGGCUUCGAGGGCUCCCUGCGGCGGCUGUCGGGGGAUUUCGGAGGGCAGCGGCCCUUCUUGUCCUGCCCCCGGAAGCCCCUGAGUUUGGGGCUCCAGUGUUCCCGCCACUGGAGGGCCAGGGUGGAGCGGUCGGCCACCAGGCGACUCUCCUCGGGGCCCCAGCCGCGCUCCCCUUCCUCUGCGCCGAUCAGGAGGUAAGUCCGACCCACGUGGAGGGCGGGGCAGCCGCAGCCGAGGUCACGGUCGGGGACCCAGAGGGAGUGGGCGCCCCUGCGGACGCGGGACGGGGACCCCGUGCGGAAGACGGUUUGGACGGAGAUGGAGAACUGCCACCAGGGACCCGAACGCUCCAUCCCUCUCACCUGCACCUUCAGCACUGAGGCAGACAGAGUAUCCUGUGACUAACAGAUGAGCCCCCGAGUGCAGCAGGUGGGACAUUCCUCGAGCGGCCACUAGGAGGGAGUGCUCGGCGGCCACACGACGACCACGACGACGACGAGCCUGCGCGGGAGCCCGCCGGAUCCCAAAAACUCUUCCCAUCCAAGGUCCCCGCUGUUUAAAAGAUUAUUGUUUUGACAUGUGAUUCCGCAGAAGCGCCAUGAAUCCGUGUGUUGUACAUGAGGUCACAUCAACGGGGUUGGACGGAUACGUGGAAAAAAACUUUAUCAGACUAAAACAGGGUCGUUCGUGGGACGAUAUGGCGAAAUUAAAAGUGGACAGAUUAUAUCUGUCGGAGUUUUGACUUCCUCGUCAAGCUGCGACAUAUUGCAUCUCUAGUAUGGGUGUGCGUUUUCCUUUAGUUUUCAUGACAGCAUUAUUAAAAACAUUAUUCCCUUUGACUGGAAGUAGCUUUGAAUAUUUUAAUUCUUUCAGUCUAACACAAAGUAUAUUUUGCUCUAGUACCUUUAGAAUCUUAAAUUAGUCACACGGUGCUUUACAACAAAUAUCAAAAGAGAUAAACAGAUAUAGAUAAUGGCAAAUAAAAGCAGAAGUUGGACUUAAAUAAUAAGUAGCUUAUUAUAACAUAAAUACAAUUUACAUUAGGGGCAGGCAUGUGUGUAAUUUGUAACUUUUAUUUUUGUAUAAACUUGUACAUAAAAUAACCAGCCAUGAAUUUAGUAUUUGUUUAAUCCAGUGAAUUUGCGAGCAUAAAAAAAAAAAAAUCAAGGUAUUUUAUCACAUGUAAAUCCAAUAUUGCUGUACACAGGGAGUAAAUACAUUUAGAGAUAUAAGGGCCCAAGAACAAAACUCAUAUUAUGGCCAAAGUUCAAAUAUUAAAGGAACGUAUUGAAGGGAUUAAAACAAAAGAGUGUGUCGUUCCUCACCUAUGCUGUAUUGAGGUUGGAACGCUGGGGUCGGAGCGACCUCUUGAAUUCCUGCAAACACAAACACAGUUUCAGACAGGUGACAGCAACACACACACACACACACACACACACACACACACACACACUCUCACACAGACAAGCGUGGGUCCACACAAGCUGUCAGCCUUGAUGCCGUUGUGUGUGUGUGUGUGUGUGUGUGUGUGUGGGGGUUUUGGUUUGUUAUGCUUGAAUUCCUCGCAGUGCGUGAGGCAUGUCGGUGCAGAAGAUAAGCAAGUGUCAGACUGACUGUUUGUGUGGUCCUUUUACGGGCCAGAAACACACACACACACACACACACACUCCCUGACGCUCAGCGAGCGCACAAAGACACAAAC